AAGUGGUGGAAUUGGUAGACACGCUAGGUUCAGGGUCUAGUGGGGGCAACUCCGUGGAGGUUCGAGUCCUCUCUUCGGCACCA
rnacentral:tRNA from 1 species